CUUCUAAGGGAAUUGUAUGGAUUUUAUCAAUAAUUAAUUUCAAAGGAUAAGCUGUUUAAUAUCGCUGAAACUGGUAUGAGCAUCUGUGUUGGUGUUCACUUAGUUUGAGACUUGUCUAGCAGUCGCAACAGAUUUUCAUAGAUUUUGCACAUACAGCUUGAUUAGGUGUUGUAUAUCUUACCAGUGUUUCUCUUUCAGACUGUAAAUGGAUACAUCUUAUUUUUUGAUCUCCUGUCAGCAAGAGAAAAAUAUAUUUAUGAGCCUGUGUAUCCCAAAGCCGCUAUGUGGAGCCUCACGGUAUUGCUUUUGCUCUCUGCAUGCUAUGUAUCAAGGAACAUGACGUGCUGGACACCCCUGCCCUCCAGCCACACCGAAGCUCUUCCUUGUCUACUACAUCACAUAAGCAACUGGACUGGUGGAGUUUGCACCACCCUUGUCUUACAGGACAUGGGACUAGGGGUGGAGCCCGAUGGCAAGACAUCUUUGAGGGAUCCUAGCUCUAAUGCAACUGCUUUUUGACACUUAUUCUCACAACCAAUAUUUGCUUUAUUUGUCAUUACUCUUGCAUUAUUAACUGUAGUAAUCACUUUGUACAUAAGAAUCGUUCUAGUAGCCAAAAAGCUUACUGAUAUAAUCUGCAGCUUCCAAUAUCUUCAGGAGGAGUCAACUGUACGUGGAUCAAGGGCUGGAAUAUAGUGAUCCUAAUCGGAAGACUAUUGUACAUCAAGGAGUUAGUGAUCCACAACAGUUAACCUGAGUAGGUGCAGGCUUGUGCUGUGCUGUGCUGCUAUAUGUUAUAGCUUGGUCUUCUGGCCUGUGUUGUGCUACGGGGAUCCCUUGGCCACCUUUCCACAGAUGGGAUCUGCACAGUGUGCUGCACCCUGAUUUGAGGCCCGUUAGAUGCUGCACAACUUGAGGUUCCCAGCAUCUGAAGGGAUGUAAGAUUAUCUAUACUAAUCCUCUUCCCUUGUAGCGUUAGCUCUAAUAACUGGCAUUUUAAGUGACACUUUAAAGAGUCUGAGUGCCUUUCUUACUGGGAUCAUAAUGAACCAGCACCUCCUGGUGCAAAACAACAGGCUACGCUAUCCCAAUGUUUUCCUUCACAGACUAACCAUUCUUGUUUCAUUACUGGCAAAGUGGUCAGUUGCAUGCUCUUGCAGGUAGCAGCCAAAGAGGCAUUCUGGACACCAGUAGAAAUAGUCUUAGAUCAGUUUCUCACUACUUCCCAGGUCUUUCUUUCUAUUUCUUAUCGGAUAGCAGCUUUGGCUAAUUCCUCAAAGUGCUAAGAGGUUAGUUGCCCAACCAGUUGCAGCUGGGAUUAGAGGACUUGGAUAUCCAUGGUGUUUAGGGCAGCUCCUCCAAGUCCUGGCAUUCCCAAUAUGUCUCUCUUAGUUCUUCUGUGAAUGUCGUGUUCAGGGAACAUGGCACGUUGAAUCCCAAUAAUAAAAGGGGUAUAGGUGGCACUGUGUCAACUUAGAUUCCAAUCCCACCUGAUGUGGUAUUCUCUCUUAUCGGGUUACCCCAAAUAAAGUCUGCUACUUUCCUGUGGUCAAACAUAAUGGAGGGUGGUGGUCCAGAUUGUGUUCUUUGCCAAGAUUACACCAUAGUUAGUUCACUAGUUUGGUUUGUGUUUCUUCCCUUAGAUAAGGUCUCAUUAUAUUUAAAUUCUAAUCUUAGAUUGUUUUGGGUCCAUUUAUAAAUACUUGUGAAGUUGGUGGUCCAAUUAAGUCUAGUCAUUAUACCAAUGAGAUAGUCCUUUAUGUUCACUAAUAUAUUCUACAUACCCAGCUCCAUUUUUACCUGCUCCACUCUGGCUGCUAUUCCUAGCUAAAGUUAACUGGGUUGUAUUACCUUUAGGGACUAUUAUCCAGUGCAUCCCUGCCCCAUAUGUGGCAAUAUACUCCCCUUCAAUUUCCCACCAUAUCGCAAAUCUUUUAAUAGUUUGUUACAGUUCGUUUCAUAUUAUUCACUCUCAUUCUGUGGUGGCAUGGUAGCUUGUGGCCAGCACUGGGGGGGAUUGUUUGUGCCACUGUUAUGAGUCAGAGUCACUGUCAGAGUCCAGACUGCUGUCCAUACCAAAAUAGGGUUUAUCUUCCUGUAUAUAAAAAUAUUCACAAAGGGUUAAUUACAGUCAACGUGUGUGUGUGUGUGUGUGUGUGUGUGUGUGGAUAAACAUUUAAUUUCUCCUUUUUGUAACAGUACCCAUGCUGUAUGUCCCGGGCCAUGUGCAAAUACUACCCCCUCUCUGUGGUUUCCCUUUCCCUAAAGGGGGGUGACAGCCCAAACCUUUGUUCCCAUCCAAUCAUGGCCUGUCACAACAGGAACUUUAUCGCCAUCUACUGUUCUGACAGGUUUAGCCUGGGCCAGGCCUGGUCAGGAUGCUGCCCCUUGAGUGUUCACAAGCCAAGCGGCUUCUGCCAAAUUAAUAAAUAUCCCAGUUUCUCACA